UACGUAGGUGGCAAGCGUUGUCCGGAUUUACUGGGCGUACAGAGCGCGCAGGCGGUCGUUCAAGUCGCGUGUGAAAGCCCCCGGCUCAACUGGGGAGGGUCACGCGAUACUGAUCGACUCGAAGGCAGGAGAGGGUAGUGGAAUUCCCGGUGUAGUGGUGAAAUGCGUAGAGAUCGGGAGGAACAUCAGUUGCGAAGGCGGCUCUCUGGACCAGCACUGACACUGAGGCACGAAAGCGUGGGGAGCAAACAGG
rnacentral:rRNA from 1 species